rnacentral:misc_RNA from 1 species
AACGGUCUAUACCUGCGGUACCUGCGGAGGGAUCAUUAUUGAAUAAACUUGGUUAGAUUGUUGCUGGCUCUUAGGGGCAUGUGCACGUCUAAUUCAUUUUUAACCACCUGUGCACAUUGUGUAGAUCUGAUAUACUCGAGGAAACUCGGUUUGAGAACUGCUGUGCGCAAGCCAGCUUUUCUUGUAAUCAGGUCUAUAUUCUUAUAUACCCCAUAUGAAUGUAUUCGAAUGUUGUACUGG